AUCGAGGUGCUGCAUGGCUGUCGUCAGCUCGUGUCGUGAGAUGUUGGGUUAAGUCCCGCAACGAGCGCAACCCUUGUCCUGUGUUGCCAUCCCGCAAGGGGGGACUCGCAGGAGACCGCCAGCGAUAAGCUGGAGGAAGGUGGGGAUGACGUCAAGUCCUCAUGGCCUUUAUGUCCAGGGCUACACACGUGCUACAAUGGCCGGUACAAAGCGCAGCUAAGCCGCGAGGUGGAGCCAAUCGCAAAAAACCGGUCUCAGUUCGGAUUGCAGGCUGCAACUCGCCUGCAUGAAGCUGGAAUCGCUAGUAAUGCCGUAUCAGAACGAUGGCGUGAAUACGUUCCCGGGCCUUGUACACACCGCCCGUCACAUCACGAAAGUGGGUUGUAC
rnacentral:rRNA from 1 species